rnacentral:rRNA from 1 species
CCUACGGGGGGCAGCAGUGAGGAAUAUUGGUCAAUGGACGAGAGUCUGAACCAGCCAAGUAGCGUGAAGGAUGAAUGCCCUAUGGGUCGUAAACCUCUUUUAUAAAGGAAUAAAACGAGGCACGUGUGCCUUUUUGCAUGUACCUUAUGAAUAAGGAUCGGCUAACUCCGUGCCAGCAGCCGCGGUAAUACGGAGGAUCCGAGCGUUAUCCGGAUUUAUUGGGUUUAAAGGGAGCGUAGAUGGGUUGUUAAGUCAGUGGUGAAAGUUUGCGGCUCAACCGUAGAAUUGCAGUUGAUACUGGCAGGCUUGAGUACAGUUGAGGUAGGCGGAAUGCGUGGUGUAGCGGUGAAAUGCAUAGAUAUCACGAAGAACCCCGAUUGCGAAGGCAGCUUGCUAAACUAUGACUGACAUUGAUGCACGAAAGUGUGGGUAUCGAACAGGAUUAGAUACCCGGGUAGUC